rnacentral:rRNA from 1 species
GAUGAACGCUGGCGGCGUGCUUAACACAUGCAAGUCGAACGAAGCACUUUAUUUGAUUUCCUUCGGGACUGAUUAUUUUGUGACUGAGUGGCGGACGGGUGAGUAACGCAUGGGUAACCUGCCUUGUACAGGGGGAUAACAGUUGGAAACGGCUGCUAAUACCGCAUAAGCGCACAGCAUCGCAUGAUGCAGUGUGAAAAACUCCGGUGGUAUAAGAUGGACCCGCGUUGGAUUAGCUAGUUGGUGAGGUAACGGCCCACCAAGGCGACGAUCCAUAGCCGACCUGAGAGGGUGACCGGCCACAUUGGGACUGAGACACGGCCCAAACUCCUACGGGAGGCAGCAGUGGGGAAUAUUGCACAAUGGGCGAAAGCCUGAUGCAGCGACGCCGCGUGAGCGAAGAAGUAUUUCGGUAUGUAAAGCUCUAUCAGCAGGGAAGAUAAUGACGGUACCUGACUAAGAAGCACCGGCUAAAUACGUG